rnacentral:rRNA from 1 species
CGUAGGGUGCGAGCGUUAAUCGGAAUUACUGGGCGUAAAGCGUGCGCAGGCGGUUAUACAAGACAGGCGUGAAAUCCCCGGGCUUAACCUGGGAAUGGCGCCUGUGACUGUAUAGCUAGAGUGUGUCAGAGGGGGGUAGAAUUCCACGUGUAGCAGUGAAAUGCGUAGAUAUGUGGAGGAAUACCAAUGGCGAAGGCAGCCCCCUGGGAUAACACUGACGCUCAUGCACGAAAGCGUGGGGAGCAAACAGGAUU